rnacentral:rRNA from 1 species
CCUACUGGAGGCAGCAGUGAGGAAUAUUGGUCAAUGGCCGGGAGGCUGAACCAGCCAAGUCGCGUGAGGGAAGACGGCCCUACGGGUUGUAAACCUCUUUUGUCAGGGAGCAAGGUGUAGGGCGGCACCUGCUGUGAGAGUACCUGAAGUAAAAGCAUCGGCUAACUCCGUUCCAGCAGCCGCGGUAAUACGGAGGAAGCGCGGGUUAUCCGGAUUUAUUGGGUUAAAGGGGUGCGCAGGCGGAGGCCAAAGUGAGCGGUAAUAUCGCGGGGCUCAACCCCGCUCCGCCGUUGAAACUGUGUCCCUUGAGUGCGCGAAGGGUAGGCGGAAGGCGUGGUGUAGCGGUGAAAUGCAUAGAUAUCACGCAGAACUCCGAUCGCGAAGGCAGCCUACCGGCGCGCAACUGACGCUCAUGCACGAAAGCGUGGGUAUCGAACAGGAUUAGAUACCCGUGUAGUC